rnacentral:rRNA from 1 species
UACGGGGGGGGGCAAGCGUUGUUCGGAAUUACUGGGCGUAAAGGGUUCGUAGGUGGCCAACUAAGUCAGACGUGAAAUCCCCAGGCUUAACCUGGGAACUGCAUCCGAUACUGGAUGGCUUGAAUCCGGGAGAGGGAUGCAGAAUUCCAGGUGUAGCGGUGAAAUGCGUAGAUAUCUGGAGGAAUACCGGUGGCGAAGGCGGCAUCCUGGACCGGCAUUGACGCUGAUGAGCGAAAGCUAGGGGAGCAAACGGG